GUGUUCACUUUGGCAGCACAUACACUAAAAUUCAAACAGUUACAGGAGAUUGUCAUGACCCUGUGCAAGGAUGAAAUGUAAAUUUGUGAAGAGUUCUAUAUUUUG